rnacentral:lncRNA from 1 species
GUGCUUGGCUUUGUGGAUGUCCAUGACCAGAAAUUACCCACUGGGGAAGUGCUGAAGAAUGGCCUACUAGGAAGAGGUGGACACACGUUGUUCAAGAGGAGGUUGUCCCAGGUCAAUGGAGUCUCUUCUUCAGAAGGCCUAUCUUCUGUCCGUCUUUCUAUCAUACCUCAUAUUUACCUAAGAGAGGCUACCAAUAGACCAAAGAAAUGUUUCUGCCCAAGUCCAGAUUGGUGUUUAUGUUUGCCUAUGGAAUUUCUCUGUACAGUCACUGGCAUGGAGGAAGGAAGAUAAGCCAGAAGUCACACUGAGAUCAUGACUGCCAGCUUGCUCUUUUUCCCAGAUGCUAAAUCACUGC